rnacentral:rRNA from 1 species
UACGUAGGUGACGAGCGUUAUCCGGAAUUACUGGGCGUAAAGCGCACGCAAGCGGUUGGACAAGUCUGGCGUGAAAUCUCCUGGCUUAACUAGGAGCGGUCGCUGGAGACUGUUCGGCUUGAGGCGAUGAGAGGGGUGCAGAAUUCCCGGUGUAGUGGUGGAAUGCGUAGAGAUCGGGAGGAAUACCAGUGGCGAAAGCGGCACCCUGGCGUCGUACUGACGCACAUGUGCGAAAGCGUGGGGAGCGAACGGGAUUAGAUACCCCGGUAGUCCACGCGGUAAACGAUGAACACUAGGUGUGGGUGGAGUCCAUCUGUCCGUGCCAAAGCCAACGCGUUAAGUGUUCCGCCUGGGAAGUACGGCCGCAAGGCUAAA